UGGGGGAUCGUCUAAUGGCAGGACAGCGGGUUCUGGUCCCGUAGGUGGGGGUUCGAAUCCUCCUCCCCCAG
rnacentral:tRNA from 1 species